rnacentral:rRNA from 1 species
GGGCCCGCACAAGCGGUGGAGCAUGUGGUUUAAUUCGAUGAUACGCGAGGAACCUUACCAGGGUUUAAAUGCAGAACGACAGGGGUGGAAACACCCCUUCUUCGGACGGACUGCAAGGUGCUGCAUGGUUGUCGUCAGCUCGUGCUGUGAAGUGUCGGGUUAAGUCCCAUAACGAGCGCAACCCCAUUUCUAGUUGCCAGCGGUUCGGCCGGGACUCUAGAGAAACUGCCAGCGUAAGCUGUGAGGAAGUGGGAUGACGUCAAAUCAUCACGGCCCUUACAUCCUGGGCCACACACGUGCUACAAUGGUAGGGACAACAGGUUGCCAACCCGCGAGGUGAGCAAUCCCAAAACCCUAUCUC